CCCGCUGAGUUUAAGCAUAUCAAUAAGCGAAG
rnacentral:rRNA from 1 species